rnacentral:rRNA from 1 species
UACGGGGGGGGCAAGCGUUGUUCGGAAUUACUGGGCGUAAAGGGCUCGUAGGCGGCCAAUUAAGUCAGACGUGAAAUCCCUCGGCUUAACCGGGGAACUGCGUCUGAUACUGGAUGGCUUGAAUCCGGGAGAGGGAUGCGGAAUUCCAGGUGUAGCGGUGAAAUGCGCAGAUAUCAGGAGGAACACCGGUGGCGAAGGCGGGUCUCUGGGCAACAACUGACGCUGAGGAGCGAAAGCGUGGGGAGCGAACAGG